rnacentral:rRNA from 1 species
ACGAACGCUGGCGGCGUGCCUAAUACCUGCAAGUUGAGCGCUGAAGGUUGGUACUUGUACCAACUGGAUGAGCAGCGAACGGGUGAGUAACGCGUGGGGAAUCUGCCUUUGAGCGGGGGACAACAUUUGGAAACGAAUGCUAAUACCGCAUAAAAACUUUAAACACAAGUUUUAAGUUUGAAAGAUGCAAUUGCAUCACUCAAAGAUGAUCCCGCGUUGUAUUAGCUAGUUGGUGCGGUAAAGGCUCACCAAGGCGAUGAUACAUAGCCGACCUGAGAGGGUGAUCGGCCACACUGGGACGGAGACACGGCCCAAACUCCUACGGGAGGCAGCAGUAGGGAAUCUUCGGCAAUGGACGAAAGUCUGAACGAGCAACGCCGCGUGAGUGAAGAAGGUUUUCGGAUCGUAAAACUCUGUUGGUAGAGAAGAACGUUGGUGAGAGUGGAAAGCUCAGCAAGUGACGGUAACUACCCAGAAAGCGACGGCUAACUACGUG